GGAAUGUCAGAUCCUUAACCUACUGAGCGAGGCCAGGGCUCGAAUCUGCAACCUCCUGGUUUCUAGUCGGAUUUGUUUCCACUGUGCCACGACCGGAACUCCAUGGAUGCAUUCUUGACUGAAGUCCUCUAAAUCUAUUUUCCCUCAAAACUGAAUUCUCUCAUUAUGGGGGUUUUUAGGAGACAGCAAGGUGUAGGGCAAUGGGCAUGGUGCUCAGUAAGAGAUUCUCUUAAUGACUAGGUACAGGGGGGCCACCCAUGCACCAUGCGCUGGGAAUACAGCAGCCACCAAAGGAGUCAGAAACCCAUAUCCUAAUAGAGCUGCCGUUCUGACUCUGUUAGUCAUCAGCUGUGUGAGCUUAGCAAGUCACUUAACCUCUCUGAGCAUCAGCUCAUUAUAGCAUGUUCACAGGAUUGUUGGGAGAGCUCUAUGUCAGCUCUUGCAUGUGGAGUGUCAAGUCUAGGCCCUAACACCUAAACGGCUUCUAGAAAGGGUAGUCAGGAUGAUUGCUCUUGCAGGCAGUGGGUAAGAAGGGAGUUCAGAUAAAUCCAAGGAGGCCUUGCACUACUGGCAGAACCUUUAAAGAAGAGGCAGGGUGAGAAGGGUCAUCUGUGAACAAUGGCUCCCCUCCCCAAAUAAAACCCCACCUCUGUUCCCUGCCUUUCAACCAAUACCCCCAGGUUGCAAGGUUUGCCCACAUGGGCAGCUGCUGGGCUGGUGGCCCUUUGACCCCAAGGCCCUGCCUGCUGGUCCAUGUUGUCACCCUGACAGAAGUUCCACCCCCGGUGCCCUAACCCCUUGGACACUCUCCAAGUUCAGGGCCAGGCAUUCCCGCCAGCCCAGAGUCCUCUGGGUGGGGUCAGCGCAGAUCUAGCUUACUCCCCCUGAAGGCAGGUCACUCAGCUCAUCCUGCCUCCUGCCCCUGAGCAGAUCACUCACCCUCUGAGUCAGGCUCUCCUCUCCAGACUAAAGGGUUAGGUGAAUCCUCAGUUCUGGGAUUCUACAGGGUUCCUCCCAUGGGACAUCUGAUAGAAAUCUGGAAUCCAUCAAACCACAGUCUUUCCACUAGUAGUCCCAGUUUCAGAGCUCAGUGUUUCUAUCUGCAAAAAUGGGCUUACUAAUCCCUGCUCCCAUAUCAUGAGUGUUGACACAGUGGAGGGGACUUGGGAUCUUGAGUCAGACAGACUUGACUUUGAAUACUGGUGUCUCCAUUUGCAAGGCAAGAUGCUUCUGCCCUCUGGAAGCCCCAGUGCUUCAUCUGAAGGACAGGAUAUGGCAUCUUCCUUGAGGAAUUUCUGAAGUGAGUGAACCAUGCAUCAUAUUGCUCAUAGAACAUGAUAAAUAAUUGGCAGCUCUUCUUAAGGUGGUUGGUAUUUACUCUAAAGUAAGUACCUGAUUAGAAGCUGAUUCUAUCCCUAAUUUCCCCAUCAUGCUCACCCUCUCUGGGUCUCUGAGGUUGGGUUCCUCCAACUGCUAAUCAGUGAUGGAACUUCUAUGGCUGAAAGCUACCUCCUGAGGGAACACAGUGGCCAUCCCAACUUCCUCUUAGGCAGCAGAGUCCGUGGUCCAUGCAAUACUUCCUGUUGAAAAAUGUGUCCUCAGUACAUGUGAUGAGUCCUCAGAUACACAGUACCCUACUCACCUGCUUCUCCUGGGAUCCUAACUGGUCCAUGCUUUGGAGUAGAUAUAAAGCCAUUCUUUCUUUGUGUGAUAUAAAUCUUGAAUUUCCCCCUGACCUCACUUGUCGCUGUCCUUUGUCCCCACUGUCUGUUCAGAAGAACAUGUGACACCCAAAGGGACUAGAAGCCCUGAAUCUCAGGGUUAGAGGCGGAUAAAUGAUACUUAGGUGAAAUCCUCUUUUGGUGCUUGAACUUCCUCUACUCCACCCUGUUCUUACUUACCUCCUAUAAUGGGAAACUCACUAGACAAAAAGGGGUCAUUUUAUCACCUACUUGGUCACCAGUUAGCUGUCUGACUUGCUAGAAAAACCAUUGCUCAACUCUGGCAAAAAAAAGCUUCUAUCAUGGGUAAGUCAUCUGUGAAUCUCUGUUCCAAAGAACAAUCCUGUUUUCUUGUCCAUCCCCCUCCACAACUCUGAACCUCAUGGCCACAAAAAAUGGAGAUGUGACAUUUUUCUCUAGAAUAACAAAACUCUGUUAAUGUGUCUCUUUAUUUACCCACUCACUAGACAUUCCUGUAAGGAAUCUACUUCAGAUGCCCACAGAGCAUGCCUUUCAAUUGUAAGCACAAUUAGCUAGUUUCCAGAAGGAGGAGGAGGGGCAUUCAUGGGCAGAGAUAAAUCAUAUCCUCGGCCAAAACCCCUCUUCUAUUUUCCAACAGGGAACCCAAAGCAAUUUCAGAACAACUCCGGGGGUAACAUUGUUUUCCUUGUGCAGCUUCAGAAACAGAGGCACAGGAAGCGAAGGUCACCCAACAAAUCAAGGGCAAAGGCGUGCACUAAAUCCCAAGAAUCUAAGACCUCCCGGUGCAGUAAUUGAUCCUCUACGAUAAAUGUUUGUCUUGCUAACCAGGGAAAUUUAUUGUGGUCUUUACAGCAGGAUUCUUGAGGCUUAAAAUUAUAAACAGGGAAACAGGGCCUGGUCAUAAGUUGAGUGAUUAAUUGGCAGAGAAAAUGUUCAAGGAGGGAAAGGGUCAAUGGGGUGAAGAAAAAUCAAACCUCUUUUAGGAAGUUUCCCUGCUCUCUUACAUAGUUUUAAUUCUUCAUGCUCGGUCUCUUCAUUAAACAUUUUUGAAGUGGGUUUUUAUUUUGUUUCUUGGUUUUUGCUUUUUGGUUAUUUUUCUGGCAAGGUUAUUUGAGUAUGUCUGCCACUUAGAUUAUUUCUGAGGUUGAAUUGAACUUAACCUUUGCCCAGUGAAGCAGAACAGAUUCCUGCUUAUCUGAAGUAAGUGGGACUGAGAGGCCAAGGGACAAUCAAGACCGUAAUCAGAAAAGGCUGAGAUAGAGCACGCUCUGUUUCUUUGCCAAGGAAGGGUCACAGUGAGGACCAGUGUCCAGGUCAUGGGACACAGGUGCUGUGACGGCUCGGGGGGAGCCACCCGAGGAUGGAGCCGACUCACACAGCAGCUCCUCAGAGGCAGCAGGUCCCCAACGCAAGAAGAGCCUGGCCUUUGUAUUGAGACCUUGUUUACCCUUCCAGCUCCACCCUGUGCUUGCUGUGCAGCUUCAGCAAGUUGGGGAACCUCUCUGAGUCUCAGUUUCCUCAGUCAGCUCUGGCUAAGUGGACACCCAAUGGCUGCCUUUCUGAUACUACAACCAAGAGUGUUUCAGGAACUCCACACUUAAGCUCUUUCAAUCAGUAACAGAAUGAUCCUAGACCUUCCCCAACACACAUUGUUGAAGCUGAAAGGACACCGCACAGAUGAACGCUCUGAGGCUGCCAGCAGGUAAGAGGAUCUGCUCAUCAGAGUGGUGGCAUCUGUCCUCAAACUCUGAGGGUUGACUACACGCACACACAGGACCACUUAGUGCGGACAAAAUCAUCUUGUCUGGGAUAUGGCCUUGUCGACAACCUCAUUUUAAUUCAACAAGAUGUGGGCACGAAGGGCAAUUUACCCUUCAAUCUGCUCCCUGGGGCCUAAACAGCACGCUGUUUUCUUUCCUUCUUUGCUCCUGGCAGCAACAGAUACUAUUGGGUUGGAGCUCCACAAAUUGUUUGGAUAUAAGGAAAAAGACGAUACAGACUUUGCUGGUCAACAUGAAUAGAUGCCGACUGCAAACCAAGGAAGGACAAACUGGGAAAGCAAGGAGCACAGCGCCACCUGCUGCUGAGAGGGGGGAUGGCGGUAGAGAUGCACCCAGUGGGAAGCUGGGCUGGAAGCACCAACCCCUCGGGUCAAAUCCUCCCUGCAUUUCCCUUCAGGGAAGGAACUGAAGCCAGAAAGGGUGAGAGGCUGAUUUCCAACUCUCUUCCCUCCACCUGAGGGGAGGACACAGGAACUGGCAGCCACCUGGCCCUCAGGAGGAAGAGGAGAGGAAACACAAGGAAAAGCAGGUGCAGACCUGGUUCCUGCUUAGAGGGUGAGACGCCCAUCAUGCCAGGAGAUCACUCAUAGGAACUGUACAGGCUGGCAGUUUGUGCAAUGGCUGCUCCACCAUCCCGGCCAGACUGCAGGGCUUUCAGGCCGAGGUGGCACUGAAUGAAGAUGCAAGGGGCAUCAAGAUGAGGGGGAAACCACCCCAUAAACUCAGUUUGAAUACAAAAAAAAAAAAAAAAAAA